CCUACGGGUGGCUGCAGUGAGGAAUAUUGGUCAAUGGGCGCGAGCCUGAACCAGCCAAGUCGCGUGAAGGAUGACUGCCCUACGGGUUGUAAACUUCUUUUAUCAAGGAGUAAAGUGAGGCACGUAUGCCUUUUUCGAUUUACUUUAUGAACAAGGAUCGGCUAACCCCGUGCCAGCCGCCGCGGUACUACGGAGGAGCCGAGCGUUACCCGGAUUUAUUUGGUUUAAAGGGAGCGUCAAUGGGUAGUUAAGUCAGUUGUGAAAGUUUGGGGCGUAACCGUAGAAUUGCAUUUGAUACUGGCUGGCUUGAGUACAGUAGAGGUAGGCGGAAUUCGAGGUGUAGCGGUGAAAUGCUUAGAGAUCACGAAGAACUCCGAUUGCGAAGGCAGCUUAC
rnacentral:rRNA from 1 species